GUGGGGAAUCUUGCGCAAUGGGCGAAAGCCUGACGCAGCCAUGCCGCGUGAAUGAUGAAGGUCUUAGGAUUGUAAAAUUCUUUCACCGGGGACGAUAAUGACGGUACCCGGAGAAGAAGCUCCGGCUAACUUCGUGCCAGCAGCCGCGGUAAUACGAAGGGGGCUAGCGUUGCUCGGAAUUACUGGGCGUAAAGGGCGCGUAGGCGGACAGCUUAGUCAGAGGUGAAAGCCCAGGGCUCAACCUUGGAAUUGCCUUUGAUACUGGCUGUCUUGAGUUUGGGAGAGGUGAGCGGAACUCAGGGUGUAGAGGUGAAAUUCGUAGAUAUUCGGAAGAACACCAGUGGCGAAGGCGACUCACUGGCCCAAUACUGACGCUGAGGCGCGAAAGCGUGGGGAGCAAACAGGAUUAGAAACCCUAGUAGUCC
rnacentral:rRNA from 1 species